rnacentral:rRNA from 1 species
GACAGAGGGUGCAACCGUUGUUCGGAUUUACUGGGCGUAAAGCGCGUGUAGGCGGCUUGGCAAGUCGGAUGUGAAAGCCCACGGCUCAACCGUGGAAGCGCAUCCGAAACUGCUUCGCUCGAGUCUCGGAGAGGAAGGUGGAAUGCUUGGUGUAGAGGUGAAAUUCGUAGAUAUCAAGCAGAACACCUGCGGCGAAGGCGGCCUUCUGGACGAUGACUGACGCUGAGACGCGAAAGCGUGGGGAGCAAACAGG